rnacentral:rRNA from 1 species
CCUACGGGUGGCAGCAGUGGGGAAUAUUGGGCAAUGGGCGCAAGCCUGACCCAGCAACGCCGCGUGCAGGAAGAAGGCUUUCGGGUUGUAAACUUCUUUUCUCAGGGACGAAGCAAGUGACGGUACCUGAGUUAUAAGCCACGGCUAACUACGUGCCAGCCGCCGCGGUAAUACGUAGGUGGCAAGCGUUAUCCGGAUGUACUGGGUGGAAAGGCCGUGUAGGCGGGGAAGCAAGUCAGAGAUGAAAACCAUGGGGUCAAACUGUGGCCUGCUUUUGAGACUAUUUAUCUAGAGUAAUGGAGAGGUAGACGGAAUGCCAUGUGAAGCGGUGAAAUGCGUAGAUAUUAGGAAGAACACCAGUGGCGAAGGCGGUCUGCUGGGCAGCAACUGACGCUGAGGCGCGAAAGCGUGGGGAGCAAACAGGAUUAGAUACCCCUGUAGUC